rnacentral:rRNA from 1 species
GCAUAUCAAUAAGCGGAGGAAAAGAAACCAACCGGGAUUGCCUCAGUAACGGCGAGUGAAGCGGCAAGAGCUCAAAUUUGAAAUCUGGCCCCUUUGGGGUCCGAGUUGUAAUUUGCAGAGGAUGCUUCGGGUGCGGUCCCCGUCUAAGUGCCCUGGAACGGGCCGUCAUAGAGGGUGAGAAUCCCGUCUGGGAUGGGCGGCCGCGCCCGUGUGAAGCUCCUUCGACGAGUCGAGUUGUUUGGGAAUGCAGCUCUAAGUGGGUGGUAAAUUUCAUCUAAAGCUAAAUACUGGCCGGAGACCGAUAGCGCACAAGUAGAGUGAUCGAAAGAUGAAAAGCACUUUGAAAAGAGAGUUAAACAGCACGUGAAAUUGUUGAAAGGGAAGCGUUGUCCACCAGACUCGCCCGGGGGGGCUCAGCCGGCACUCGUGCCGGUGUACUCCUCCCCGGGCGGGCCAGCAUCGGUUUGGGCGGCUGGUGAAAGGCCCCGGGAAUGUAACACCCUCCGGGGUGCCUUAUAGCCCGGGGUGUCAUGCGGCCAGCCUGGACCGAGGCCCGCGCUUCGGCGAGGAUGCUGGCGUAAUGGUGGUCAACGGCCCGUCUUGAAACACGGACCAAGGAGUCUAACAUCUAUGCGAGUGUUCGGGUGUCAAACCCGUCCGCGCAGUGAAAGCGAACGGAGGUGGGAGCCCCUUGGGGCGCACCAUCGACCGAUCCUGAAGUCUUCGGAUGGAUUUGAGUAAGAGCAUAGCUGUUGGGACCCGAAAGAUGGUGAACUAUGCCUGAAUAGGGCGAAGCCAGAGGAAACUCUGGUGGAGGCUCGCAGCGGUUCUGACGUGCAAAUCGAUCGUCAAAUUUGGGGUAUAGGGGCGAAAGACUAAUCGAACUAUCUGGUAGCUGGUUUCCUGCCCGAAG